UGGGGAAUUUUGGACAAUGGACGCAAGUCUGAUCCAGCCAUGCCGCGUGCGGGAAGAAGGCCUUCGGGUUGUAAACCGCUUUUGUCAGGGAAGAAACGAGUUUCUCUAAUACAGAGACUUAAUGACGGUACCUGAAGAAUAAGCACCGGCUAACUACGUGCCAGCAGCCGCGGUAAUACGUAGGGUGCGAGCGUUAAUCGGAAUUACUGGGCGUAAAGCGUGCGCAGGCGGUUAUAUAAGACAGAUGUGAAAUCCCCGGGCUCAACCUGGGACCUGCCUUUGUGACUGCAUAGCUAGAGUACAGUAGAGGGGGAUGGAAUUCCGCGUGUAGCAGUGAAAUGCGUAAAUAUGCGGAGGAACACCGAUGGCGAAGGCAAUCCCCUGGACCUGUACUGACGCUCAUGCACGAAAGCGUGGGGAGCAAACA
rnacentral:rRNA from 1 species